GGGAUUGUAGCUUAGUGGCAGAGUGCCUGCCUAGAAUGCAUGAAGCUCUGGGUUCAAUUCCUCAGUACCA
rnacentral:tRNA from 1 species